CUCAGAACUUGCAGUUCCUCUUCCCACUGACCUGUGCUUCCUGCUUCCCACAGACCAGCUAGGAAACUACUGAGCGCCUGUGUUUGAAUGAUGCCCACCUGUGAAUACUGACUCCGGUGUCUUUUUCAGAGUCUAGUUCCCCGGGUUUCUACGGGGCAGCCCUGAGCCCAGCCUGCUCUCAAGGCUAAGUGCUUGACUGUCCCUCGCAGCUUCCCUUAGGACCCCUCCUCUUCCUCCUCAGGUGUGUUACUGAGGCAGGCUGUCAGAGGCACCAGACACAGGCUUCGUUAUACCUGGCUUUUGAUUUUGAAGGUUGUGAGGAACAAAAGCUGGUAAUGUUCCUGUGACACUCAAGAAAACCUUAUUCUCACUCCUGGCUGUAUGAUCACAAGAAAUGAGUUUUCAGAAACUGUUCCAAAGUAUAAGCAGGAAAAAUUCUAAAAGGAAAAGAAGAUGCUUUAACAGAGAGGAAGCACACACUGGAGGUCCUAAGGGAAAGAAAGAAGUCGCCUUUGGGUAAAGCAAGGAUGGGGGCAGCCGUCUGGGGCCACUUUGAAUGUGGCCAGAUCAUUGGAAGUGACCGACAGAGCCUCAACUGACCAGGGAAGGAAAAUACUGGUCACUCAGUGCGACACCCCCCACAGCCCAGCACCUGAGUGUUUAGUCCUGGAACGCGACAAGUGACCAGAUCUACCAGCAUAUGGGAAGACUUGGACACCGCAGCGAGGUCGACCUGGGCUGAGAAGGAAUGUUGGUUCAAUAGUGAACCCUUACCCAGUUUUCGGCGGACACAACAUCUUUGUUUGUAUGUGGUGCUGAGGAUCGAACCCGGGCCGCACGCAUGCCAGCCGAGCGCGCUACCGCUUGAGCCACAUCCCCAGCCCAAAAGAAGAACUUUAAAAAGAAAAAUAAUGACAGUUCUCAAAAAUCUGAACAUGACCUACCAUGUGCCAAGCAGUUCUCCUGGGGUAUACUCAAGAGAACUGGAAACAUGUCCACACAAAAUGUCGCCCAGACACUUGGAGCAGCAGCAUUCACAAUAGUCCACCAGCUGAUGGUCAGAGAGGGGACACAGUCCUGCCACACAGUAAAAAGGUCUCUGCCAUAGACGGGGAUGAAGCGCAGCUGCACACCGUGACCUGGUGGACCUGGAAAACCACAGGACAUAAAAGACCAAAGGGGUCCAAGGCCACUGAAAUGAUCCGAGCAGGCAGAGCCACAGCUACAGGAAGUGACCAGGGCCUCAGAGGUGGGGUCUCACUGUUAGAGUCCUGUGGGUGCUGGCUGUGGUGGCCUGUAGUACCAGCACUUGGGAGGCUGGGGGAGAAGGUGCUUGAGCCCAGGAAUCUGAGGCCUGCCUGGGCAGCACCACGAGAUGCCAUCUAUAAAAAACAAAGCACGCAAAUAAAGAAAGGCACAUGGUUUCUA